UUGAUGUCAUCGCCCACCUGAAGGUACAGGUCGCC
rnacentral:scRNA from 1 species